GGAGCUGGUCAAUUCAAACCGUACAAAUCUUUCACCUUUUACUAAAGAUUUCAGUGAAGAGGAACAGUUACAAGUUUUGACCCAAUUUUUUGAGGUCACCCAAGUUCAACCC
rfam:Alligator sinensis unplaced genomic scaffold scaffold768_5, whole genome shotgun sequence